GAUGAACGCUGGCGGCGUGCCUAAUACAUGCAAGUCGAGCGAACAGACGAGGAGCUUGCUCCUCUGACGUUAGCGGCGGACGGGUGAGUAACACGUGGAUAACCUACCUAUAAGACUGGGAUAACUUCGGGAAACCGGAGCUAAUACCGGAUAAUAUAUUGAACCGCAUGGUUCAAUAGUGAAAGGCGGUUUUGCUGUCACUUAUAGAUGGAUCCGCGCCGCAUUAGCUAGUUGGUAAGGUAACGGCUUACCAAGGCAACGAGGCGUAGCCGACCUGAGAGGGUGAUCGGCCACACUGGAACUGAGACACGGUCCAGACUCCUACGGGAGGCAGCAGUAGGGAAUCUUCCGCAAUGGGCGAAAGCCUGACGGAGCAACGCCGCGUGAGUGAUGAAGGUCUUCGGAUCGUAAAACUCUGUUAUUAGGGAAGAACAAAUGUGUAAGUAACUAUGCACGUCUUGACGGUACCUAAUCAGAAAGCCACGGCUAACUACGUG
rnacentral:rRNA from 1 species